ensembl:lncRNA
GAACUUUUCCAAAUACUCGUCUAUGUUUGCAUUUCCCCUUCCUGAGAACAGUGAUAUAAAAAUCAUACGAAGCCCUCUAACCUCAAGAGAGCAAAGCCCCAAACAGCAAGUAACUCAUGUGGCUUCUAAUGUAAUGAAGACGUCUGAAUCCUUUGGGGAAGAAUUUCAACAGCUUAGCUCUUACAGCAGUGCAGAUUACUAGGGUGAAAGAUACUGUACAAAACCACAGAAGAUCUGGUUUCCAAUCCCACAGCACCCUGGCUUCUCCUCUGUGAUUUCACACAGUGGGUAGGUGUUCACUACUAUUUCCCUUCUCCAGUAGAGGACAUUCAGAGGACUGUCAUACCAACGAGCGAGAAGACAUCAGAAACUACAUGGAGGAGAUCUCCAACCUUCUGCACAGCAGUUCCUGGAAACCCACAGGCUGAGCAAACGGAAGAAGCUCUCUUGAAGACCUAUCGUUGUGCUGUACUAAAGGCUCCAAAGAGCUCCAGGGAAGCUGGAAAAAUGCCAGGAACAACAGCAACAAGUCCCCUGGAGUUGACUGAGAUGAACAGUUUUCAAACAUGCCAUAGCUAAGAAUAUUUCCCUCCUUGGAGAUUUCCAAAAACUGCCUGGACACAAUCCUGGUUACCCUGCUCUGGGUGUCCCUCCUGGAGCAGGGCUUGGGCCAGUUGGCCUCCGGAGAUCCCUGCCAACCUUAACCAUUCUGUGAUCCUGUGAAACUGAUUCCAGACAAUGACAGACCCCGCUCAGGAUAAAAGGGUGCAGAGUGAGGCACUGGGCUUUUUUCCUGCACUCUCGGUUUUGCUUUAUGGUAAUAAAAGGUGACUCUUACUCUUCGGCACCACUGGCGACACAACUACAGAAGCAAAGCGAGCUUCCCUCUCUCUGCAGAAAGCUUCGAAACGCUCACCUGCAUUUUCAACAUCCAACCCUUUUCUCUGCCUUAGCUCAAAGCAAGACCUAAGUGGCAUGAUAGCCACUCAAGGAGUUCCGUGGGACCUGACCUCCAUUGUUCGUCUGGAACUGGCAGGUUGUGUUACAUCCUGCCCCUCUCCAGCCCUUGUAGAGGCCCUCACCUCCCUGCCCUCAGCGAUUGCUGCCUCUUAUGACUGCAGCCAAACAGCACAGAAAAUGAAAAACACACGCAUUCAAAGAGAUUGAGCACCUGGCAUCAGAAGUGCUUUAACUGCAGUCGCACCCAUAGUAAAAAUUAUAGUCCUAUAAAUUACAUGUGGAACUAUAAUAUGGUCAAGGUCUUUUUGAAGUUUCCGACCUAGCAAGUUAUACAUGGUAAAGGUCAUCGUAAAAGCACUGGAGAAGUUAAAAUCUGUAUGACCUCAAGAGUUUUCUGAUGACUUUUAUCAGCGUUAUCUUUUAACUCAUAUGCAUAAGAAAUCAGCAGUUGCAAAAGGUCUUGCAUAUGUAUCAGGAGAACUGCCUAUGGAACAAUGUACAUGUGGCCCGAUGCAGCUGCACAUUUGAUGCUGCGUAUGGAAGGAGCACGUGCCUGUAGCUGGUAGCAUGCAAAUACAGAGGAAAUUGAGGUUUCUUACUCCCCAUUAAAACACCUUCCUUCUCACCUCCAGAAUGCUUCCAGACUGAAAGCAGUGGAAGAGGUGAUUCAUACAGCAUUUGCAAGAUUUGUAAAAUCUUAUCAAUUCUGAAGUCCAAUUUGUGCUAAUCAGGGCAUAUCACAAGUGCAAAUGUUAACCCAAAGGAGCAGCUAAAUGACUGGUGCAACGAGAUGAAAUUUAACCAUCUGAAAGUUCACUCGUGGCCAUACGAACAAAUCACCACCCUCCUCCAUUCGUCCUGCUGCUUACUUCCCACUCUUAAACAAUCGUAACAAGAUGAUGUGUCUUGAACCCUAAUCCACCACCUUUGACAUAAACUCCUGUGAGCAGGUCAGUGUCAGCAUGCAACCACGCAUGUUUCCCUUAGGAACUGGGCAGCUGGCUGCUAUUCUCAUCCAAGAUCACAGUCCCCCCUUGAGAGAUGCCAAGACACUCGUGCUGCCUCAUCUGCCAUUGAGCACAGGGCACAGAGACUCCAGGAAAGUCAGAGAUCCGCCUUCAGACUGGUUCUUACUUUCUUCUACUGAGGUUUUCCAGCUCCUUUUAAAACCUACCUAAAAACCUCCACAAACAACCAGUGGGGCAGGAUGUUGCACAGCUGAACUUGUUAAGUAGCAGGCAAUACGUUUAGGGGAUCCUCAUUCGUUUCUCCUUUGCGUCAAUCAUCAGCAUCAAAUAAGAAAAGUGAGCAUUUCCCAGGAGUGUCAGUGAACUGACGCAAUUUCAGCAGCUUUGUACGCAGUAUAUAAAACUCAAAGGAGUAAAGUUCAAUUUUAAUUGUGCAGCUGAUAUCAUGAAGUAAACAGGCGUUUUCUUCUAAAGACUUUUAAAACAGAUUUUUAAUCUUUCGGGACAGCUUAGCGUAAGAGUCCAAUGCUACUUUCAGCUAUAAAUCUAUAAAUCACUGUAAACCUAGAGUAACUCGGAUAAUCUCCUCAAUCCAACACCAAAAUCAUAUUUUCUUCUUCGCUGAAACUUUGAGAUUGUGCAAUGAAGGAAAUGCUCGAUGGAAUAACUCCAGACUUUGAACAAGGCUACAGAAACUGCUGCUUCGACUGUCUGAACUGCCUUUCCUCCUGCAAGCUGGUAAUGAGGCUGAUUAGUUACUAUUUAGAAGAAUCCCAUCUUUUUUUCAGUUGGAUGCAGAAAAAGCAGCGUUCUAAACCCAACAUUUCCAAACCAUGAACUGAACCCUGGUUCUAAACCAGUAAAACUUCCUAGUUUCUUAGUUUCAGGUUGAAACUUCUCAGCAAAAUAGAACCUGAGAUUUAUAAUGCUUAUGUCAACUGGUCUUGAACCAUACCAGUGUCAUACUGCGUUCCAUGCCCAAC